rnacentral:rRNA from 1 species
GCAAGUCGAGCGCCCCGCAAGGGGAGCGGCAGACGGGUGAGUAACGCGUGGGAAUCUACCCAUCCCUACGGAACAACUCCGGGAAACUGGAGCUAAUACCGUAUACGCCCUUCGGGGGAAAGAUUUAUCGGGGAUGGAUGAGCCCGCGUUGGAUUAGCUAGUUGGUGGGGUAAAGGCCUACCAAGGCGACGAUCCAUAGCUGGUCUGAGAGGAUGAUCAGCCACAUUGGGACUGAGACACGGCCCAAACUCCUACGGGAGGCAGCAGUGGGGAAUAUUGGACAAUGGGCGCAAGCCUGAUCCAGCCAUGCCGCGUGAGUGAUGAAGGUCUUAGGAUUGUAAAGCUCUUUCACCGGAGAAGAUAAUGACGGUAUCCGGAGAAGAAGCCCCGGCUAACUUCGUGCCAGCAGCCGCGGUAAUACGAAGGGGGCUAGCGUUGUUCGGAAUUACUGGGCGUAAGGCGCACGUAGGCGGAUAUUUAAGUCAGGGGUGAAAUCCCAGAGCUCAACUCUGGAACUGCCUUUGAUACUGGGUAUCUUGAGUAUGGAAGAGGUAAGUGGAAUUGCGAGUGUAGAGGUGAAAUUCGUAGAUAUUCGCAGGAACACCAGUGGCGAAGGCGGCUUACUGGUCCAUUACUGACGCUGAGGUGCGAAAGCGUGGGG